AUUAAUGUCUUUUGUAAAGUUGUUCUAGUUUUGUAACUAAAAUGGUUUGGCAGUGAGCGAUUCUUAUUAGGGGAAUAUGCAUAGUGAAGGAUGGUCCACCUAUUAGUUUACUCUUUUUAUGUUGGUGUAUGUCUGGUUUGAUAUUAUUGUUGAAUAAUUUAAGUUUGUGUAGUUUUAGUUAAGCUAAGUCUAUGUGCUGCUUAUUGGAGUUUUUGUGUGUUACAUUAAUAAGGGUGUUAUUGUAAGAUGAUGU
rnacentral:rRNA from 1 species